GGACAAUAGACCUUAUUACAGAUGGUUGUGAGCCACCAUGUGGUUGCUGAGAAUUGAACUCAGGACCUUUGGAAGAGCAGGCAAUGCUCUUAACCACUGAGCCAUCUCUCCAGCCCCCUAGGAUUUUUUUUUUUUAAUCUCUAUUUCUUAUGUGCUCAGGACUGUCAAAUUUUUGCAGAGGAUGAUGUCUCUAAAGAUGGCUCAGGCCUCCUUUCUCUUCCCAGCACCCACCACAGAGAAUGUCUAUCUUCCAAGUCAUCUAAGUAAAGAUGGUGGACUCAUGAAACAAAGCCCCUUGUUUGGACAAGUGCCCUGGCUGCCCCUUCCAAACAAGCUGCCGUUUCUUCAGCUCUUCGUUUAGGAAAAGCCUAGAACCAGUAAAGUAGGUCAGUGGGUUGUUUUGUGACGCGGAACAGUUUACACAAAACUCUAAUUCUCUCCUAAAAGCCAUAGAUAGCUCCUGCACUCACUUUUCUCAUUGACACCUAGGACGGAAAUUCCAAGUACCGCUAAGUAUGUCCCGGCAGAUUAACAAAGCCAGGGACUGUGAGAUUCCCUCGGACUACAUUGAAGAGCUAAGUGGUCAGGCUCCCUAAAAGAUGGCUCCUGGCCUGCUGAUCCCCCUCAGGGUGGAGGAGCUUGUCCUGUCUGGCCCUGUCAGAAACAUCCAGUUAACGAGCUGCAAUGUGACCCUUUGACAUAACCAACCUCCCGGUGGGAAGUCUACUGUAAAUGCUUUGUUCUCCUGCCCACACUCAGUGCUGCCCCAUUGGAAGCAAGAAGUCUGGCUUGACUUGGCUUUCCACUAAACAUUUAAAUUAAAACAGCAACUGACGACAUCAGGACAGGCUGAGCUCCCGGUGUUUAGAUUUCCAACCACUGCUAUAGCGUUUCCAGAAAUUUCCACAGGAUGCUACUUAAUAGUGAUAACAAUGGGUUACAUACAGGAUUAACAGGGGGGAAACCCCAAUUAAAUCAUCCAGACAGCUGAUCUUCCUGCAAAGGGCGGGAUCUCCAGAUUGGCUCCCCGACACCUUGCGCUUCGGGCACAGGGCCAAGAGUCAGUCACACAGUGACUCCGUUGUCUUCACCUCCCCGUGUUAGUUGGCCGGACUGGUGCCCCACUUAAGGCCUUCAAUUGGGGACUUCCAACAGGGCUGCUCUUUGCCUCGGAGAUAACCAACGGCUGGAACUCUAUCUGGUGGCAGGCAAUUAGCUCACGUAAAUAGUGCCAGCGCGAAACUCAAGGUCAGGUUACCCCCGGAGAACGCCGUGGGACGAAAGCCAACCUGGGAAAAGCGGAGCCCGGUUCACCUCUGCUGCACGCUGCAUUGUGUAACCGCUGGCUCAGGGCACACAUUGUUUAGGGCUUGUUUACGCCCCUUACGAAAUUUCCUCAAUAGCCUAGCUGAAAGCCGGAGUUUCUCGCCUAGAGAUGACGGGCUUUCUUAGCAUGAUGUCCUUCCUACGUGCUGAUUACAGCUGAAACAGAUUUUCGAGGUGGGUUCCUGAGAUCCUGGGAUGAGAAGCUAGAACUUUCUGGAGCAGUGGCCAUAUUCCCAGUUCAUUUGAGGCCUUGUUGGGAGGAAUCCCUAAACCAUGGUCUAUACACACUUUUUUUUUUUUUCUUUUUUACGACCUCUACUUUGAACUCAUAUGUUUGGACAACCAAUCAGGGCACCUGGUCCUGUCUCCAUCUUUGGGAUUGAGAGGUAAGCCUGGAGAGAGAAAGCUCUAGAAAGAGAGAGAUCACAGACUGCUUACUGAGUCCCAUUCAACCCUGUAAGGGCGAGACUUACUCUGUAGAGUCCUUGCUGAGUGGCUGACUUCUCUGCAGGGUAGCAACGGUUGAACAUUUCAUGGAGGUCAGGGAAAGCGCCAGGACACUGGGGAAAGAGCCAGCAUAGCAUAUGAAAAUGGGGAAAGGUUUAGUAGAAAGAAAAAAAAAAAAAAGAUCUAUAAGUUCAAGUCUUUCAGUAGGCGAGGAAGACUCCACAGUAACUAAGGAAUAAAACAAGAAUAAAAGAUACUGUCUCUGUAGCUUUGGAGCUUGUCCUGGAACUAGCUCUUGUAGACCAGGCUGGCCUCGAACUCACAGAUAUCCUUCUGCCUCUGCAUCCCGAGGGCUGGGAUUAAAGGCGUGCGCCACCACCGCCCGGCUCCAAGAUACUGAUUUUACAUAAACUACACCCCUCCUCCCAGGCCACUCUGAUAUCUCAAUCUAUCACGAAUGCUGUACAAAUAUCUGUGGAUUAGAUCUAGGACCGCAAGAGCGUGGGAGGAAGUGCUGUAAGGCCACGCCCCAGGAGUCAAGGCAACACAGGAGGAAAGACCUGGGGAACAGCUGGGAUCAAAAGCUCAGAAAACGAAGUUCCUCUAAGGCACUGUGCUAUCUUCUGCUGUUAAGAGUGAGAAUUUCUGGGCCGGAAGCAGAGAUCGUCAGAACAGGCAAGUCAGACUAGAACUUGCCCUCCUCUGUGAGUAGAUCCUUUGAAGCAGACGGUUGGCGCUUGAGUUUUUGGCUGUGACUGGAAGACGUCGGCUACUGGAGAGGAGGCAGGGCAGGCAUGGGAGUAGCUUGUUUUCAACACGAAGCUGGGAGACUGGCGGCCUCCGAGCGUCGCCGUGGUAAACAGAGUGGACAGACCUGGUUGGAUUUCUGAGAUAGUCCUCACAAGACACUUAUUACUGUCACCACAUGAGAGACGAGGCCCGAGGGACGUGUUCUGAGUGUGACAGCUGCCAGGACAUUCCCGGCUGGAGUGGCACUCUCUUCUCCCAGCCCCAGGAUGCUCUCCCUUUGCCUGUGGUCACCAUCUCCCGUGAUGCACUUCCAGUGCCCAGCUAGAGCAUUAGACGACAGCUCCCUCCACUCAGAUGGCAAACAUUAUCAGCUCCUCUAAGGCCUCACCUGAGGAGAGGUUGUGCGCUAGCUUCCAGGGGUGUGUGAGGGCUUGAAACAGUCGCCUUGCGUCAGUUUUGAAUCCUGCGUGGUGCUAAGUUCGAAUCCUGCACGGUGCUAAGUUCAGCCUGGCCUUUCUUCCUUGGAUUGGCAGCGAUCCUGUUCCUGCCCGUUUUCUAGCGGACACCAGCGAGUGGAAAUCACAACCAAAAUGAAGAGACUUAGCGUCUAAUUCAAGACUGCCAAUCAUUUCUUCAGCCAAGGGAAGCAGCUAGGUUCGUGAGUCUUAGAACUAACGUUCAACAGGCCCGCACGUCGAGCUCGGCCACGCGAGGUUUCCAAGUUCAACACCUCCAUCCAUCCGGGCCACGGGGAUGCCGCUCUUGAACAGAUAUUUAACCUGCUGGUGCUUUCCAGAGGAACGAAGUGUGCAAAACGCCAGCUCUUUGCGUGUGCAAUUCUGCAUCACGAGGGUUCCAGCAUCCGUGGGGUAAAAGUUUCUUUCCAAAUCAAUUUUGGAUACCAGCUGGUAUCAAAGAAAGUCAGCUAUUGUACAUGAUUUUUUUUUCCUUUCGUUUUAAACUUCAGAUUUUUGUUUUUUAUUUUUGUGAAACUGCAUUGUCUGGACUGAUCAUAGAACUCUAAGGUUCAAUCUUCUGGACUCGGUCGGUGUCUUCGGGACCUGGUGGGAUGACCGGCCUGCACUUCUGUGUGCAGCUGCUUACAUUUAAUUUAGUGAUUUAAAAAAUAAAUAAAUAUAUUUUCCA